CCUACGGGUGGCUGCAGUAGGGAAUAUUGCACAAUGGGGGAAACCCUGAUGCAGCAACGCCGCGUGAAGGAAGACGGUUUUCGGAUUGUAAACUUCUGUUCUUAGUGAAGAAUAAUGACGGUACCUAAGGAGUAAGCCCCGGCUAACUACGUCCCAGCAGCCGCGUUAAUACGUAGGUGGCAAGCGUUGUCCGGAAUUACUGGGUGUAAAGGGCGCGCAGGCGGGAAGCCAAGUCAGAUGUGAAAACUACGGGCUUAACUUGUAGACUGCAGUUGAAACUGGUAUUCUAGAGUGAAGUAGAGGUUGGCGGAAGUCUGGGUGUAGCGGUGAAAUGCGUAGAGAUUAGGAGGAACACCGGUGGCGAAGGCGGCCUACUAG
rnacentral:rRNA from 1 species